rnacentral:lncRNA from 1 species
CCAGCUCUCGCUCCCAGCUGCCUUGGAGAAUCCUACACCAGCCGGCGAGCGUUGUGCCAAAAUUAAUUGAUAAGAACAAGCGCGUGCUCAUAGGUGAGACCAAUCCCAAAUCGAGCCACACGCGUGCCGCCACGAUUUUUUUUUAUAUAUAAUAAAACUGUAGGGGCAGAGAUACCCUGCAGUAAAUUUAUUGAAUAAAAAAAAGGAGUUCAAACAAUGACAAACCACAAGCUGAAGGCAAAAAAAAAUUAAAAGAAAGAGAUCUAACAGAGCUAACAAAGCUUACGAAACUAACAAAGCCGCCAAGUUGCCUCGAUCGGCAUUAUUGUCUCCUUUCCACCCCUAACCUGCCGGUGCCUGAUGCUCCUCCGGCCUCCAGUAACCUGACAGUACCGCAGGCUGUUGACGACGGACGGCCGCCUCGUUCUCCUCCGCCGGCGGGCCGGGCCGGGGCAAGUCUACUCCGACGGUACCCAGCCGUGAGGCCCGGGUUAUGGCUCAGUACGCAAUUAACACAUGUUUUCUCAUCACCUUUUCUUAUUGUAC